GUCCGAUAGUUUAUAGAAGCGUUUUCGGUGGCAGCCUGGGUAUAAAUCCUUUGGAAUAGGGUAUCAUAGAGGGUGAGAAUCCCGUCUUUGACUCAGUGCAUGCUACUAUGUGAUACGUUUUCAAAGAGUCGAGUUGUUUGGGAAUGCAGCUCAAAAUGGGUGGUAAAUUUCAUCUAAAGCUAAAUAUUGGCGAGAGACCGAUAGCGAACAAGUACCGUGAGGGAAAGAUGAAAAGAACUUUGAAAAGAGAGUUAAACAGUGCGUGAAAUUGUUGAAAGGGAAACGCUUGACACCAGUCAUGCGAGUGGAAAAUCAGUCUUUUGCAAUGGGGAGUUGUGGGCGUUCAGACCGCAAGGCUGGCGUUUGCUUCAUCUUUGUUGUAAGUGAUGCACUUUUUCAUUUGCAGGUCAACAUCAGUUUGCUUUGCUGGACAAAACCCCAAGGGAAGGUGACAGCUUAGGCUGUGUUAUAGCCCUGGGGCGAUACAGUGGAGUGGACUGAGGUUUUCGCAGUGUGUGCUCUCUGGGCAAGGCUGACUGGGUGCUAUGGGAUCGUUCGGCGUACAAUGCAUGCAUUUUGCGCCGUGUCUUUUUCAUACUCGCUCAACUCGGCUCUUCCACACUUAGGAUGUUGACUUAAUGGUUUUAAUCGACCCGUCUUGAAACACGGACCAAGGAGUCUAACAUAUAUGCAAGUGUUUGGGUGGCAAACCCAUGCGCGUAAUGAAAGUGAACGUAGGUGCCAUCCGCAAGGUGCAGCAUCGACCGAUCUUGAUAUUUUUGGAUAGAUUUGAGUAAGAGCAUAUAUGCUGGGACCCGAAA
rnacentral:rRNA from 1 species